GCCCUGGCAGUCAGAGGCGAUGAAGGGCGUGCUAAUCUGCGAUAAGCGCCGGUAAGGUGAUAUGAACCGUUAUAACCGGCGAUACCCGAAUGGGGAAACCCAGUGUGAUUCGUCACACUAUCAUUAACUGAAUCCAUAGGUUAAUGAGGCGAACCGGGGGAACUGAAACAUCUAAGUACCCCGAGGAAAAGAAAUCAACCGAGAUUCCCCCAGUAGCGGCGAGCGAACGGGGAGGAGCCCAGAGCCUGAAUCAGCAUGUGUGUUAGUGGAAGCGUCUGGAAAGGCGCGCGAUACAGGGUGACAGCCCCGUACACAAAAGCGCAUGUGCUGUGAGCUCGAUGAGUAGGGCGGGACACGUGGUAUCCUGUCUGAAUAUGGGGGGACCAUCCUCCAAGGCUAAAUACUCCUGACUGACCGAUAGUGAACCAGUACCGUGAGGGAAAGGCGAAAAGAACCCCGGCGAGGGGAGUGAAAAAGAACCUGAAACCGUGUACGUACAAGCAGUGGGAGCACAGGUUUACCUGUGUGACUGCGUACCUUUUGUAUAAUGGGUCAGCGACUUAU
rnacentral:rRNA from 2 species